rnacentral:tRNA from 2 species
GACAACUUGGCCGAGUGGUUAAGGCGACAGACUUGAAUCUCCACAUUCGAGAUAUCUGUUGGGUUCGCCCUCACAAGUUCGAAUCUUGUAGUUGUCG